UACGUAGGGCGCGAGCGUUGUCCGGAAUUAUUGGGCGUAAAGAGCUCGUAGGCGGCCUGUCGCGUCCGCUGUGAAAUCCCGGGGCUUAACCCCGGGCCUGCAGUGGAUACGGGCAGGCUGGAGGCAGGCAGGGGGAGAACGGAAUUCCCGGUGUAGCGGUGAAAUGCGCAGAUAUCGGGAGGAACACCGGUGGCGAAGGCGGGACUCUGGGCCGAUACUGACGCUGAGGUGCGAAAGCGUGGGGAGCAAACAGG
rnacentral:rRNA from 1 species